rnacentral:rRNA from 1 species
CGUUGCCUACGGGGGGCAGCAGUAGGGAAUUUUCGUCAAUGGGCGCAAGCCUGACCGAGCAACGCCGCGUGAAUGAGGAAGGUCUUCGGAUCGUAAAGUUCUGUUGUAGGGGAAAAAGAGCGGAGAGAGGAAAUGGUCUCCGAUUGAUAUUACCCUUCCAGGAAGUCACGGCUAACUACGUGCCAGCAGCCGCGGUAAUACGUAGGUGGCAAGCGUUAUCCGGGUUUAUUGGGCGUUAAGGGAAC